ensembl:lncRNA
CCACACACUCAUGGUCCCCAGCUAAUAUACAGAAAUUGCACAGAAGAAGAGUAAUCUAAAUUGAGCAUAAAUGAAACGAGAAAAAAAUAACAGUGGCCUACGAAUAAAAGCAGUCAAUCCACAGAUAAACACGUGUUAGUUAGGCAGUACUUCGUAUCGUCAGUUAGGCAUGUACUUCAUAUUUGGGAACUUCUGCACCAAAACCCCUCAUGGAACUGAACUGUCUGAUUUUUUUUUUUCAGUUAUUACUACUUACAAAGACAGGCUGAGGGAGCUGGGCUUGUUCAGCCUGGAGAAGAGAAGGCUGUGGGAUGACCUCAUUGCAGCCUUCCAGUACCUGAAAGGAGCCUACAAACAGAAGGAGCGUCAACUCUUUACAAGGAUUUCAACAUAUUGAGCUCAAUCUUUCCCCAACUCUUCGGAUAUUUUGUACCAUAAGAAGGAGUGGAAAAGGAAGAACAGGUCUGCUCCUCUGACCAACACAUGGGUUAUAAGCCAGCAGAGGAGAGAGCCAGCACUGGGAUGUGAGAGGGCCUGAGCUGCCAGAGGUGGGACUGCAUCAAGAGCUGUUUCCUUCAGCUCUCUGCCUGCUGAUGGAACAACCAGAAAGAAAAUUCCUUUCAGCUUGACCUCAGUUCUCAGAAACUGGGCUCAGAGGAGGAGCCUCUGCUACAAAAUGCCUUAAAAUGAUCUGAGUUCGGGGUACUCAUCUCUGUCUAGAGUUGUUUGGCAAAUUGCAUUAGUCAGAUGAGAUCCUCAGCAAGAACCAGCUAUUGCAGUUACACUGCUGCCACUUGUCAGCACUCAUUUACAGGGUACCAGUAUACUCAGGAUUUUUAAUGAAUCCCCCCAGAAGUAGUCUGUACAGAGUUAUGAAAGUUCCAUGAGAUUAUGGAAAUGAAUCUUAAAAGCCAGGUGUUCAUAAGUGUAUUUAGGGAGAGAUGCAUUGUUCCAUUUCAGGUGCCGUAGCACACAAUACCAUAUGUGAGAUUGCAAUACAUUUGUUCAGUUAUAGUGUAGAUCAUGGCAGAGAAAGGAAAACAAAAAGGACAUGUAAUAACUGCAGCAACUGAUUUAAUAACUCCCUAAUUAUUGGUACCAAAAAAAAUUUUAAGAGCUGGAACAUCCUAGCAGUUAGUGAUAGGCAUCCUGUGUGCUUUGGAAACCAAUCAAUCUGAUUUAUUUACAUUUUUCCUUUCUCUACCACUCUAGCUUUCCCUGCUUAAUUCAUUUGAAUCUUCCCAACCUUUCUCCACUCUAUGCAGCAAGUCAUCCUAUCAGCACUAAUGCAUGUUGUUAAAUGGACAAAAUGCGGAAAAGCUUCUGUGAAAACAAUCAGAAGAGACUAUCACAUUACCUUUCAUUCUUUUUGAGUUGCUUUCUUUUGACAGAGAAACCAUCACUUUUUCAUAUUUUUUCCUUGCAGUCUUAAAGCAUAUGAAAAAGAAAGUCUUGCUUUUUCUUCUGUUUUCUUCUCACCUUCUGUCUCACUAGCCCUCCCCAUCACAUCAGUCUGCAUGAUUUCUGUGUCUCAUUUUUGUAUCUUCCAUGCCUUUACUCUCUUCACUGACUUAUCCCAACCAACUUGCAGUUGCACUGCAAGCUCAGCAUCAGUUUCCUGGGUGGUUUUCCCUGGAACUCAGUCACAGCAAAGUUGUACAGCGUUCUUCUUCCACCUAGGAUCCACGGGCUGUAAACACUAUGUUUUCUGAUUCUUCAUUCCUUGGCAGUCUUGACUCCUAGCAUUUUCUAGGCAGGAAACUUUGGUCUAUUAGAAGACAUUUCUCACACAUCUUCUGCUUAUCUCAAAGCCAUCACAAGACUUCCUCAAUCCACCUCAUAAGAAUACACAGCCCUGCUGGCUGAGACUUUCAGUAAAUAAAAAGAAGCUUCUGUAGUCCUGCCCCA